rnacentral:rRNA from 1 species
AGGACGAACGCUGGCGGCGUGCUUAACACAUGCAAGUCGAGCGGAAAGGCCUUUCGGGGUACUCGAGCGGCGAACGGGUGGGUAACACGUGAGUAAUCUGCCCAUCGCUUCAGGAUAGCCAUCGGAAACGGUGAUUAAUACUGGAUAUGACAUUCCUUCGCAUGUUGGGGUGUGGAAAGUUUUUUCGGCGGUGGAUGUGCUCGCGGCCUAUCAGCUUGUUGGUGGGGUAAUGGCCUACCAAGGCUUUGACGGGUAGCCGG